UGGAGUUCGGGGCGAGGCCGAGUGCCGCCGCUCCGCGCUCGGGACACUGUCGCGACACGCUCUCGGCCUCUGCCCGCGCAGUGCAUGGGGAGCAGAGGAGGGGAGCUGCGGCGAGAACUGAAGCUAAGAACAGAAUCCAAGGAAUUGUGAUUCCAUGGUCACACUUCACCCUGUGAUGCUGACAGGUUGACAGGUGAAAAAGGAGUGGAAGGUGCACGGGUCAAUUAACUUGAAUGGCCUAUGUAAAUCAGCGGCCACUGAUUUCCUGAAGGCUUCAACAGGUUUCACUGGAAGGGCAGAUGCAAAUCAUCUACCUAAAGUCUUGGCACAGAAGAAAGUAGUGGUUUGCUGCUGCAUAUAGCUAGAAGCUUACAAAAGGAAGGCCUUGGGCUGAGGCCCAUUACUUUGGCUAAGUAGAGAAGGACUGUGGGAAGGUGAGGCAGCUGAAUUCGAGGUAGAUCAGCAACUUCUAGAACUGUCGCAGUUGGCAACUCUAAAAUGAACCACAUGUCUGCAGUAUUUUAACAUGCACCAUAUUUAGCCAAGUAAUUCAAAACAACUAAAAAGCAGUCCCUUCAAUUUGGAAAUAGUUUUAAAUUGUUUUUGAAUAUACAAAACAUACCCUUACUGUACGCAUUGCAUGCAGAUUUAAUCGUCGUGAAAGCAAACCCUAUGUUUCUGUGGGGAUAGCACGACUUUCCACAGUUUUCCACAAUUGUUCUUGGCACAGUUUUCUACUUAUGUGUCUGUAACAACACUUGAAGGUACUUCUAAGGUACUGUAGUAAGCAGAAAAGGAGGAGAGGUUGUGCCUUAUUUCUGGCUUCCUUUGGUUUCCUGUUUGGUUUUCUUCCUCUUGCCAUCCUCAUGUUACUGUUCAAGAUACUGUAAUUUAGAUUUGCGGUUUACUAAGCUGUGUUUUUGUCUGGAAUUCUUGUAAAUGCCGAAAAGAACCCAAAAUGUAAAUAUACAUCUUUUUAUGAUUUGAUAGCUACAUAGAAAAUUUUCCUGCUGUUCUAAAAUGCUUUUAUUUGAUAUGCAUUUUUAUCACCAUUCAAAUGAAAAGAGAACGGUUCCUCUAGUCACUGCUUUUGUACUGGAUUCAGUUUGUGAAAUAUGAGAGUUAAUUCAUGCUGUAUAAGGAAAUGUAUGUAGUUAUAGAAUGUGGUAAAUGUAAUAGAAUAGACAUUUUAAAUGAAACAGACAAACUAACCUCCCCAGCCAAGAAGCAGUGUCCUAUUCAAAUUAUAACUAUUUCUGGGCAACACCAAGAUUGUAUCAAGCUGGCUUUACGUCUGAAUAGGACUGCCUUGGCCCAUUAUCGGUGAUUUCCUUAGACUCUGCACCUGGGAGAUAAACAUGGAGGCCUUCCUGGCUCAUAACUCCAGGAGUUUCACAAGACAUGGACAUACCAUGAUGGGCUUACAGGAACCGAUAUCAAGAUAUUACAUAUGAAAACCAGCUCUGCCUGCUUCCAGACUUCAUGUCUGCAAACCCGGGUCUGUCUAAAGAAAUGGAUUUGCAUUCGAAGAAAUGAAUAGAAAGGUGUGGUCAUCCAUGCCUCAGGCAGAAUAAACUGUAUACAAGCUGUACCGUGGAAGGCUUUGGUGUGGACCUCUGAGGAGACACUGCCACUUUGUUGGUUGACUCUUUGGUCUCACCCAGCGUCUGAUGCCGGGCUGAUGCUGUCUUGAUUGUGGAGGUUGCACGAAAUUCUAUUUUUUUUUUUGGUAAUCGACCAAUAAAUUAUUGUUAAAUUUUUGAUAAAUUUGGCUGGUGAUUUGAUAAUUUAUAACAAGUUCUAUGUGCAUUAAUAGUGCAAAAAAGUCCUGCUGGAAGAAAGGAUCUGCAUAGAAAUUCACCAAGACAUGUGCUACAAGGGUCUUGUAAAGGUUCAAAGUUUCUCUACCUGUCUGUCUUCACAGCAAGACUUGAGGAGGUAUUUUGCUAGCGUUUCUUUGACAGAAAGUGAUAGCAAAGCAAGCAAAUUGGAGCAGCAAAAGAAGAUAGCAGCAAAAGGCACAUUAUCUCCUCUGUUACUUAUCAUUGUCGAAACAAAUUUUUUCUCGCCAUGUUAAAUAAAAUAUCUUAGUAGAGCUAAAGACUAGAAAAAUGCAGCUCUGUUCUGGAUUCAUUAAAAGCAAAGCCAUCUGUGGACAGAAGUGCCCAGCGUGAUGCUGGGAACUCCUAGCUGGUUUCACUAAGCUGUCUGGAGAACUGCGUUUUUGGUGGGCUUUAGCUGCGUGUCUGUAAGGCAGGGAGUAUGUGCUCCCUUGAGCCCUGAGAGUGCCAUGGGCACAGAGACCCAUCGUGCAGCUCUCUGAACAGCCGCAGCUCACUGAGGCAUGAUGGAUUACUCCCAGAGUUCACGCGGUAGAAAGGUUUUCUGCCCCCGUGAAAGACGACACGUCCAUUUUCUUGCAUAGAGCCAUUCUGUAUGUUACAAUGGUACCUUGAAUUCAUCAAGUGCUAUUUACACAAUGGCCAGUGAGCUUGGAUUCUUAAGCUUCUCAUGUUUGAUCUGUUUCCCGUUUCAGUAAAUAGCAAAACUUCCAAGGACUGCAAUGACAAGAAGAUGAAGCUGCUACCGUAUUUCAAAUGUUUGCCUAAUAAGAUGGUGAUUCUUGCGCAUAUUGGCAAUGGUAAUUUCGGGUACUGAAACACCGGCUCUGCUCAGGGCAAUUCUGAAAUUGACUUGAGCUGUUUUCCAUGUUUCUUAGCAGUGAACUGAAACACUUCUAGCUUUCAAGGCAAGGCGUUUGACAGCAGCCUCAAAGAGGCUCAGGCUGUUGGAUGAGAAGGUGAAAAAACUGAGGUGAAUGGGGGGAAAUUUCACUUCUGGUACAUGUCAUAGAUUCAGCCAGAUGAUCAACAAUCAUUAGUUUAAUGAGGUUUUAGUUUUUGUGCGGGUUUUUUUGGGGCAUUUAUUUUUGAGGAUUUUUCGAAGGCGAUCCCCUGUUCUUUUUUGCCUCCCCUCCCUCAAGGCGAGGCGGCAGCCUCCUGCUGUGGCCGGCGACAGUGCUGCCGCCUUUUGGACAGAGAGCAGUACUGCAGCCCUCGAGCCAGCGCCCUGCCCCUCGCCGCUGGGUGCCGGGGGGCGGGGGAAGGACGUGGCUGCCGAGCGAGGGAAGGGCGCGGGGCGGGGUCUGUAAAUGGUGCCAUGCUGCUGCGGGAGGAGAGAGCGUGAGCUCCAAAGCCCUGAGCAGAGCGCUGGGAAACGGGAGGCGAGGAAGGCUUGGGCUAAGGAUGGGUUGAAACGGGGCUGGCUGGUAGUGCAUGGACAGACAUUUGUCAUUCACGCUGCCAAAAUGAACACCUGGUACAUCCUAGGUCUUCCUUGUGUUUCAUGUGUUUUUAUUUCAUAUUCAUGUCAUCACAAAAAGCAAGGAUGGAGUAGAUGAGACUGGUCCCCACUAUUGCUGUGUGAAGGCUUUUUACAGGCUACUGUAUUUAUGUUCUCUUUUUUUCACUCCAAGCUUGACUUUGUCCGUCGUUUUCCCAUGUCUGCUGCAUUGGGUGUCCCCGGGAGGGCUGGAUUCCUCGUCAGGGGUCUUAGGAGUUGCUAUUAAUUCUGAUUUUUCUGAAGGUGUAUAGAAGUGUGCUAUUGAAACAGCUCUUUUCUCUCCUGAAAAGCUUUCCAUCUAUGACCACCCAUGCGUUUUAAUAAUGUAGCCAGUUGCACUAAGGUUUUUACUUUCCAAGCCAAAACCUGUCACAGAUGACUGUUUGCUUUGUGUCUGUGAGAAGUGGCAUUUGUGCUGGAGAGCUGCACCUAGGAAGAAAAGAUGGAUUAAAUGUGCUCUGGGGAUGGAUGGACAUGGAAAGAAACACUUGCACAGAAAGGCAAAGCAGUGAUGAUUCUAGAGGAAAAAUGAGAGGUGAUUGCUUCUGAUCCAUAGGGGCUUUCCUUUGGAAUAUCGAUCAGAGAGUGUAUGGAAGCAGAGAGCGUAUUCUGGUUAUUUCUACUCUAUAAACUUCUCUCUGGCUUCACAGGUCUGUGCUGGAGAGUGGGAGAAAGGUCCCUGCUGCUUGCUGUAUCUUCAGCGGGCAGAGAGCUCUGACCUUGGCCGGAUGGGCUGUUGCUGCAUUUCUUGGAUGCUGUGCAGGACAGAAUCAGGCAGCCAAACCUCAGGUCCACCUUCUCCCUGACCCUCUACAUUGAUCGUGUGGCACAGCAGAUCCUGAAGCCAGAGCACGAGUGGAUUCUCAGAUUUCUUGGAGAAGGGCUGCGUGACAAAUAUUGCUAUGAGCUUUAUGACUACCAGAGGGUUUUCUGGGUCAUUCUAUCCUUUCUCAACACUCCUUUGUGUGACAAGGGCUCCCAGUGUCGUAUUCUGGAGAUACUGCAAAGUGCUGCCUGUGUCGCCCGAGCUGCCUAUGAGCUGAUAGAGGAUCACAGCCUCCUCACAUGGGUCAUGAACAGCUUAGAGAAAAGGUUUCUGGAGAACAAGGUGAUAAAUAAAAUUAUUUCCUUACUCCAUACUCUAUGGGUAAUAAAUUUAAGAGACAAGAGAAAACAAGAAUCAAUCCCAGAAGAACAGCAAACUUCUUCUUAAUAAGCUUGUAAAUGAAUUUCUAUGUGUUUUGGUCACGUUAAUCAAACAUAUUUGCAGGGAGCUGCUGCUGCUGCACAAGUGGAGUCUUGUCAGCAAAGACCUGCAGCUGCAGAACAACCUGCAGGCCCUGGCUCAGAAGUACCAAAACAAAGAAUUGCUCAAAAAUAUUAAGGGCAAGAACAAACCUCAAGCCUCAUCUCCUGUGUAUGGUCACACUUGGAAAUGGAACAAGGUGGGAGAAGAUGACACUGCUGCAGACAUGGAAGGGUCUGAGCUGGAGAAAGCAGAGACCAUCUGAAUUCCAUACUUGCCCAUUGGGACCCUCUUUUCCCAGCACCACCCUCCACACAGAGAGGGGAGACCCUCAGAGCCAGUGAAGGUGGGGGUGAGGCAGUGGCUAUCACCUGUGCAUCCACUCAUGCCUUCACUGAGUAGCUGGUGAGGUCCCUGGCUGAGCAGAGCCCCCUCGGGGAGCAGGACAUGUCACCAGUGCUGAGGUGGCUGCGGAACCGCGUCCUACCACACCCAACAGCUGUGCGGAAGAUGCUCAGGGAUGAGACUGAGGAACGACCUUUUCAAGCUUUACACCCGGCUCUGCCAGGCCAGCAGCACCUCAUCCGGGCUCUCCAGGCAGCUUGGUGGGCUCAGUUCCAUCAAGCUCCAGCUCAUGGAGGAGCAGGUCCUGUCCAGCACCUUCCACAAGCUUGUGAAAUCUCUGUGCCUAUCAGCAAUGGUGGAAGAGGAUGUGCACAAGACAGCUGCUUCUGUAUUCCUGACUUCCCUUCACAUCGGGGACAUGUGGCUUGGAGCACAGGACCCGGAUAUGUCACUUACCUGUGUCAGAUUGGUGGAGGUUGCAAAUUACAGAGUGACUUGGAGACUCAGAAACAAAGGAAAGAAACUGUUAUGUCUCUUAGCAAAAAAAUUUGUCUACAUCAGGGCAUUAAUUCAGGGGACUAACAUUCAUCUUUAAUGUUCUUCUGUGCUCUGCCCUCAUCACCGUGAGCUGUGAAAGCCUCCUGAGCUGCUCUCAUACAGACCUACCUUGUCUGGUCAUAAAAAUCAGUAUUUUAUUCCUGUGUGCAAACUCAGGGGGAAGAUUUUAUUCAACAUCUCUCAGUGGGACAUUAAAGCUCCAAUUUCCCUUUUCUUGAACAGUU